AAUGAAUUUUGAAGUUUUUUUAUUUGAUACAGGUAUGUUUGGAUUACUCAUUAGAAUAUAAACUAAGGUUAAAUUUGUUUGUUUCCUGAAAGCAAUCCUUCAUUUCUCCCCAAAGCUCGAUCUCUAACUCAUCAAUGUCGGAUGUAAUUCCAUUUGAAAUAAUAUAGAAAAUCGAUUGGGGAAAUAUAUACUUUCAUUUUACCCAAACGGAUACACCUUUCAGAUCUCGCUUUGGCAUUUUGUUCCUCCUCACUUGUUUAUUAAUUUGUGGUUUCGCUUUUGUUGGAGCUCAAAAUCAAAGGCCGAAGAACGUUCAAGUUGUGAUUCGGGCUAAAUGGUCGGGUACUCUAUCGCUCUUUGAAGCCAGAAAAUGGUUGAGGUUUGUGUUUUCAUAUCCAACCACUGCUUUAAAGUUAUUUGCUGUGUUUGGUUCUUUUUUGACAUUGCAAAAAAUGGAGUAUUCAUACCUGCUAGAUCUGGCUGAUGAAUGCGAAGAUCCUUACAUGCGAUUAGUUUACACUACUUCAUGGGCUAUAUAUGUCUAUUAUGCCUAUCAACGUACCUGGAAACCAUUCAAUCCCAUACUUGGGGAGACUUAUGAAAUGGUUAAUCAUGGUGGCAUUACUUUUCUAGUUGAACAGAACACUGCAAUGGGGAGGGAAGAACUUGUUUAUAUGCAAUGGGGAGGGAAGAACUUGUUUUGAAAAGAGCAGGGGUAAUUCUAGAAGAUCCUCAUACUGAAGAUCAUAGCCAAGAAGUUGAGGAUCUAAGGACUUGAGGUUUGAAUUGCAGAUAUCUAAGGACAUAUGGGAGUUGGAAAGUUCCAGUUUAGUUCCAAGUCCCAGUAUUUAAUUGAACAAUUGCUUACAUGUGAAACAUGAAGGAAUUCAUGGUGAAGCUUUUGGGAUUUUACACAUGUUGUAAAGCAUGACAAAUCAUUAUAAUAGAUUCUUAUCAUUCAUCGACUUGUGUAAUGGGGUAAGGAUUAUCAGGAUAUAUCUAAUCUAGUGACCCAGACACGUCCCAUGUAGACUAGCUUGGCUAGGUACCAAUGCUAUGUGACCCGA